GCUGAGUAUAUUGCUUUUGGGUACAAGUAGAUUAAGCCAUGGGUGUGGAAGUUCCCAUAGUCCUUUAGUCCUUAGUUUUAGUUCUGCUGCAUGGACCCUGUCCAAGAAUUCUAAAUAUGUGACUUCUGUAAUAAACAGUGUUGAGGGGUCUUCUGGGUUGAAAGAUGAUCUCCAGUUGUUGACAAGCCCCGUCUUGUUCACAAUCACAAGGCCUUCAAUAUAAUCGAAGGUGUUCUGUGCAGAUAUUAAAUGUUCUUGGUCUCUUGCAAAUAUGGAGAAAUCUGAAUACAGCACUCUGAUCCAUUUUACCUGUUGACAGUUCAAUCACAAGCUAUCUGUUUAUGCAGCUCAGAAGUAUUUAUUACUGACUUUUGUGACAUAUAGAUUCUUUACCAUCUUUGGUGCUGGCUCUAGAGAGAUUCUUGCUCGAGUUAUUAUUCCAAACUGGCCAAGUCCACCUAGGACGCCAUGGAAAAGAAAAUAAUUGUGAUUGGUCCUCCUCGACCUUGAUCUCAUGUUGUACAAACCUGUGACAACCUCGAGCUGGUGGACAUUACUGAUUUGAGGGCCAUGUCGAAAAGCCUGCCCGCUAAUUCCUGCAUUGGAUAAAGUACCUCCAACUGUUAGAUGCAAGUAAUCCGUCCAAGAUUUCGGUGCUAAACCAUAUUUCAAGCACUCUUGCAAGAUGUUGAUCCACAGCUCUCCAGCAGAGACAUCAACAUAAGGUAAUUUCCCAUUGUGGACCUGCAUUUCUUGCCCACUGAGUGAUUCCAUGUUAAUCACAAUUCCUUGUGGUGCUUGGGCUUGUCCUUGGAGCGAGUGGCCAUGGCCUCUGGCAGCAACCGUCAGAGUUGAAGCAGGGCCCAUUUGCCAAACAUGCUUGAUAGUUUCAGCUAUAUCAGAUACCUUCUUUGGGUGCAGAACUGCAGAAGGGAGGCAGUGCCAUGAGAGAAGAUGGAAUGCCAGGAAAACAGAGGCAAACAUCGAUGGCCAUGCCGAAAACCAACACAACUAUGAAGCUUGUGCUUGAAAAAGGAGUAUUUGUUGGGUGCCUCAUGAUGCUUCUUGGGUUGUAUUUGCUGAAAGGAGAAACAGAGAGGAUGUAUUCUAAUUGUAAUUGUUCUCUAAGUAUAUGAAGGCAAAAUGAGAUGUGAGAGAUGAAGGGGAGAUUAUGGGGGGAUUUAAAGGAGAGGUUUUGGUGGCUAAGUCAACCUGUCGUCAGUGCUAAGAAUCCUUAUGAAGACUGCCUACUUGGAAAUAAAAAUGGGUCACAGGAAAGAAAAGAUUCUCAUAGAUCUUCUUACUUUUUCGAACAGUUGCCACCACAUUUUCACCCCUUUUUCAACAGACAGGCAUGGCUAAGAACAGGUCCAUACGACGACGCGUGAAGCUGGAAAAUCGCGCAUUUACUUGGAACCAUAGAGCUGCCAUAUUUUAAUUGUGCUGGGACCUCUCUUGAUUCAUGCCAUGGCCUAGGAAAGUUGUAAGGUAAGGACAGCUCCUCUCAAAGUCUAAUAUGAAUAUCCCCACCUAAAUAUUUAGCGAUGCCUUUCUUCCCAGUACAUGGACCAUAAACAUGAUUCUCACUUUACACUGCAUUAAGACGCGAUCCAAUUGUGCACACGCACGCUCACAAUAUGCUAGUGUUUAUUUUUUUGGGUCCUAUCUCCUCAAGCAAUGCUGCUUUCUCAAGAUCUUAAACGUGUUAAGUUAACUACUUGUUGAAACAAUAAUAUUUAAACGAAGGUGAAAGCAACCACUGACCAGAACAACAAGAUUUUGUUUAUUCUUUGUUUUGGUGAUGAGUGUGUCAAAGACUGGUAGCUACUUUUGUUGUUUUUUACUACCCUUUCCAUGUUGGAAAAGAAGUGAAAUGAGUCAGUAGUUGUGUGGUAGAUUCACUGAUUAAUGCAGAGAUAUUAUUCUGUUUUUGAAAGAACAGAAAUGGUCCCCAAAUGGUCAAUCAGAAAACUAGGCUUAUUUAUUUUGUGGAGGCAUUGUGUGAUGGCUAUCAUCUUAAAUUUAAUUAAACGAAGGAAUAUAGCUGCUUUUACAAGAUAAUCAUGAUCACAACUUUUUACUCAAGUAUGUGAAUAGAUUAUUGUUUGCAGAGGACAGAAAACACAGCACCAAAUCUUUGUGUUGUCAGACAAAGUUUGUCUCCCACCUUUGGUUUGGCUAUGGGUAUACACUCUUUAUUCAUUUUAUGCCAGUCCACCCUCCUCUGAAUAAACAAUAUAUUACUAAAUAUUUUAUUUUUUAUUUUCUUAAGAUUAAUAUUCUUGCAGUCACAGGAAUCUUCUGUUAGAGAUAAUGUAAUAUGACAAUAAUGUGACACUCUAUGUUAGUCUUUUUUUCCAAAACAAAAAUCGAAAAAAUCAGCAUCUUUGGAAUCUUUCAGUGGAUCUGUCAAUAUGCUACAUUAUUUUGGAAUAUUUAUAUGCAUAAAAUUUCUUAUGGCCCUUUUAUUGACCCUAUAGGAAAAAGUGAUUUGGAAUUUGGUGUUCAGGUGGAAAGGCUGGAAGAGGAUUAGGAUUGCAGACUUGCAGUUAAUUUAAUGCUUUAUAUCUUUCAUUUAUUCUCUUCUUUAUUUAUUAUAUAUAUAUUUUUUCUUUUUCUUUCUAUAACAGAACGAUAACAAUUAAUAAUUUAAAUUCCUGUACUUUCUUUACAUCCAAAAAGUAGGGGCAACAUUUUUAUCUUGAAAAUCAAAUCUAUAUAUGAUCUUACUCCAUCCCAUGGCCUUCAAUCUUUGAAACCAAUUGAUCAAAUUGGGACCACUAAUCUGGAAAAAAGCAAAGCCCUUCUGCUGGACAACAAAGCAUGGUAACUUCAAAGGAUUUCUAGAAGGAGACAACCCCAAUUAUAAUAAAGAAAUAACAGAGGGACUCCACCCCUUCUUCCAUGGUGUUGCUGAGUUACUUUUUAAGAGAAGCCAUGAGCACACAAUAGACGUAGGUGGUUGGGGUGCAAAUUUAUUCUUGAUGAAAUCAAAGUCUCUGAGGAUAAGAAGUACUCAAAUCCUUUCUUGUCAUGCUCCCCUUCCUCACUUUUAUUCCUCUUAAAUCCAUGUCUCUUUGUCCCUUAUGAUUAUUAUUAUUUAAAUUGUUCACAUUCUAUACAUUUUUAAUUACUAUACUAAGUUAUGAUUAUCGUUUAGUGGGAUUUAAUAGUAAGUCAAUCCUACUAGAAAGUGAAUUUUUUCUUCUCUUAAAAGUUUUAUUUACCUAAUUAUAAAUUGUGUAGUAAAAGUCUUUUCUUACUAGUCAAGCUUAAUAUGAUUAAGUUUACAUACAAGUUUGUGCAUACAUUUUCUAAUCAAUUUUGAUCGUGUUACUUGAGGCUUUUUAGCACGGAUGGUCAUUAUUCGAGAUUAAUCUUAAGAUUCUUUGCUAGAUUAUUAUUAUUAUUAUUUUGUCAUUUUAAUUUUUUUCAUUACUUAGAUUCUUUACUAGUAUGAAACUGAGGGUUUCUUUAUUUAGAGUUUGGUUCUAUAAUUUGGUUUAAAUAAUUGUUUGAACAUAAUAUUUUAUGAGAAAAUAGUGUAAUUUUAUAGAACAUCGUAAAUAUUGCAUGACUGAACCUAAAUUCUAAGUGUAUUGACGCUUUAUUUUAUGUAUCUUGUAAGGAGAAAAAAAAGAAAGAAAAGAAUAAAGAAAGAGAGAAAGAAGAAAGAAAACAAAAACAUGUUAGAUGUGGAAUCCUACAUAUCACUUUAUAUCCAAGUCUACUUAGGAUGAAGAAAUGGCAGUGUAGUGGCUGCCUACUUAAAGGGACCAGAUUCUGCAAAUCUUGAUAGACAAGUUGGAGUUAUUGAAUGUGUUAAUUUUGAUGUUUGGUGUGACAAGUGACAAUGGACUAUGAUUUUGAUUAGAAAGUAGAGUAGAGAGGGGGGGGGGGGGGGGGGGGGGGGCACACAUUUUUGCUAACUUACAAUCAAGAGAGAGAGAGAUAUAACUGAACUGUAGAAGGAACAUUGGCUUAUCCAGAAUUUGAUGUAAUAUUGUUAGUCUUUUCAUGUUCUACCAGAUUUGAGACAGCCCAUUAUCUUGAUCACCUAAUCUUCAAGCUGGUGACUGUUUCUUUGCAAUUUAUGUGUGUGUCUCUUAAUAGAUGUGAGUGAAACUCAGUAGUCUUCGCUAAGAAAAAUAUUGUUCACUCACUAUAAUACCUUCAGGUAGACGAGCAAGGGAUGAAUGAAUGUAUUAUUAUUAUUACUAUAUAAACCACUAUUAUGUACUCAUUUUGUAUCGUAAAAAUGUGUUCAUUUUACUA